GACGAACGCUGGCGGCGUGCUUAACACAUGCAAGUCGAACGGAAAGGCCCUGCUUGCCGGGUACUCGAGUGGCGAACGGGUGAGUAACACGUGGGUGAUCUGCCCUGCACUUCGGGAUAAGCCUGGGAAACUGGGUCUAAUACCGGAUAGGAGCCAUUUUUAGUGUGAUGGUUGGAAAGUUUUUUCGGUGUAGGAUGAGCUCGCGGCCUAUCAGCUUGUUGGUGGGGUAAUGGCCUACCAAGGCGGCGACGGGUAGCCGGCCUGAGAGGGUGGACGGCCACAUUGGGACUGAGGUACGGCCCAGACUCCUACGGGAGGCAGCAGUGGGGAAUAUUGCACAAUGGGCGCAAGCCUGAUGCAGCGACGCCGCGUGGGGGAUGACGGCCUUCGGGUUGGAAACUCCUUUCGCUAGGGACGAAGCUUUUUGUGACGGUACCUAGAGAAGAAGCACCGGCUAACUACGUG
rnacentral:rRNA from 1 species